GUGAAAAUCUGAGAUCUGUACUUGUCAUGGUUUUUUGUGUCCUGUUAUUCUGUACGAGGUAUGUAUGCCUCCCUUUGGCUGCACAUGUAUGUCUCUGCUUUUCCCCUAAACAUGACGGAGGUGUCGAGCCGUGGCGUUGGAUGUGCUGACCACCACCAGGUCUUGGGUGGAUCUGAUGCUGCCCCACUUCGAUGAGCUGCUCCUCCAUCCAGACCGGGAAGUUUUUAAGAGUCACCGUCAAGCUGAAGGUUUCUGAAGUUCUCUUUUAAUGAUUUUGAGAAACUUUUCAAAGUUCUUGUAGUUGUUUUCACCGAGGUCCAAACACUCCAGCUUUUCUGGGGGUUUGUAGACGCCCAAGAGAAAAUUGAUUUUAAAUCUGUCUGUUGAAUCUUUUAAGUCUGUUUCCAAUGUAGUGACCCAUCUUUCUGUUUCUCCAAAAUCUAUCUUGUGUUGUUACAGAGUCUACAUCCAAGAAGACCCUGGCAGACCCCAUCACCUGCUGGACUCUGAGC